GCUGGGCGUGGUGGCCUGUGCCUGUAAUCCCAGCUACUAAGGAGGCUGAGGUAGGAGAAUCACUUGAAUCCGGGAGGCGGAGGUUGCAGUGAGCUGAGAUUGUGCCACUGCACUCCAGCCUGGGUGACAGAGUGAGACUCUGUCUCAA
ensembl:misc_RNA Metazoa_SRP Metazoan signal recognition particle RNA